ACAACUCUCCACUUUUAUUUGUCAUAAAAUUGGAACGAUACAGAGAAGAUUAGCACAGCCCCUGCCAAAGGAUGACACGGUCCAAAAUUUGGACUCCAAAUCCUCCACUUUU
rnacentral:snRNA from 1 species